GUAGCCGGCGUUCCUUGAUAAGGAAAAAAGAGGCAAUAUCGUAGAGGAAGGUGCCUUUCCACCAUAACAAGGAGCAUUCACGAAACAAUUCCUGUUUUUCAUAACGCACUGAAGACUUGCACUCUGGGCAAGAGGAACUAGAGUGGGACUUGGUGUGAUGUCACAAGCGAUCAGAAAGCUGAACAAAGUAACGCAAUUUGAAACAGUUUUUCAGACCUUGGACAACGGGCAACGCUGGCUUGUUUUGCCGGCGCGGGUAGGAACAAGAGGAGCCUUGGCUUUGUGAGGCAGCCUCUAGUCUGUAAUGCAGGGAAGAGAAACUCGGCAAGGAUCACUGAUGAGACAGUUUGGACUUCAGGGAAUUGGGGAGACCAAGUUGGUGGGAGCAUGGGAGCAGGAUUCUGGAGAGGAGGGAAGUCAUUGGAAGAAGAGCCUCCGAAAUCUGCUUGGGAGUACAUUUGAAUCUUUAAUUGACUACAAAUCAGCACGAAUGUCAUGUGAAACUGGCGAGGCAAGAGUAAUUAGAGGGGAGCAGUAAGGCAAACAAUGACCAGCGCGCACAGAGGGCUGGGAAUCAUUUGCGUUCAUGGUAACCAGAGUGGAGAGACUGUUGAACCUGCAGUAGAGACCUCAGCAGCAGUUUCGCAUCAGUAGUGGGUAAACUGGCCCUCCGCUGCGGGAUCCAGAGUACAAACUGCUGUAACUCUUCAGAAGCUGGGAACAAGCCCUAAAAGGAUCAGUGUUCAGUAGAUAACCCAACUUCCUGCCACCCCUCAGCCUGAUACUCUAUAAAGGACUACAACAAAAUCCAGGACUCAACAGUAUACUAAAAUGUGAGGCAUCCUAUCAAAAAUCAGCAGGUGUGCCAAGAGGUAGAGAACUAGCUCAUACAGUCAAUGGAAACAUAACCAGAAAUGGUGAGAGUAAUAGGAUGAACAGAGAAAGACUUUAAAUACUCCUAAUAAAUGUGUUCAGUAUGCUCAAGGAUUUAGGGGGAAAUAUGAGAAAAAUCUGGAGAAAUUAAAAGGAAAGAAGCAAAUGGAAUUUCUGGAGAUGAAAAAUAUAUCAGACAAAAUGGGAUAUAUUCUCCACAUGGGAUUGAUAGAACAUUAAGCACCAUGGUGGAAUGGGGGAGGGAGAUUAAUGAAUUUGAAGACGGCAAUAGAAAAUCCAAAUAACCCAGAGAAAGAAGACUUAAAAAUGAAUAAAUAGUUUCAGAGAUCCAUGGGACAACACAAAGAUGCCUAUUGUUUGCCAUGUACUUGCAACCUAAGAAAGGGAGUGAGGUUAGACAAAAAAUUAUUUGAAGAAAUAAUGAACAAAAGUGUUCUAAAUUUGAUGAAACCUGUAAACUAGAAACCCAAGAAAGUCAAAGAAAUCCAAAUAGGAUAAAUAUCAAAACUACUAGGGCAUGUCGUAGCCAUAUUGGUGGAAAAAAGUGAUAAAAAGGAAAAUCUUCAAAGCAGUUGGGGCUAGGGUGUGGGAGUAGGCACAUUCUGUAGAAACAAUAAUAAGAGUUUUCAUAGACUUCUCAUUAGAAAAUAUGCAAGCCCUGCACAUAAUGAAAUGACAACUUUAAGAGAAAAAGCCCAAACCAAAAAAAUCAAAAAUACUAUCAAUCUGGUACUCAGGCAGAUAAGCCCAGAAAGCCCACUUUUUGAAAUAGUACCAUCCCAGCUGUCAGGGCUCAGAAAACAGGACCCCAAAGUAUGGUGCUUGACAUGUUGCAUACUUUGAACUGAAGGAAAGAGGCUCAAAAGCAAGAUCUUUGUGACUCAUUUUGCUCCUUUCUUUGUGGAAGCAAGCCAUGGAAAUCAGAAUUUCUCUCCCCAAAACCUAGCCAGGAACCCUAGGAGGAUUGAAGAAACUUCCUCAUUUAAACAACUGACCUGUAGAUAUGUGAGGAAGAAAAAGAAAUGCUUAUUAUGAUAGACUACUGCAACCAACCAAAUGCAUAUUAAAUUUCUGUGCACAUUGGAAGGACAUAGACUGUGGCUUGCAGAUUCUGUGCAUGAGUAGUGCAACAAGGGUGUGACCCUGAAAACAAGAGGCUGCUUGCUCUAGAGAACACAUUCUGCAGAGGAUAAAGCCAGAGUAUGUUAUUGUUCCGUAGAUCCUUGUCAUUUUCUUCCCAGCUUCUUCUCUCAGUUUCUGGUAAAAUUAUGAGAACGUGGCAUGUAAAGCCUUGAUCUGAUCGUAGAAAAAUUUAACCCCCAUAAAAGUAGUAAUGACUCCUGUGUAAAUUUACAGCUUUUCCUUACCUAUAUUUAAACUGUUUGGCUGCUAGGCUCCAGAGUAAGUAAUUAGGAAUAAUCAAGUAAUUCACCAGGAGCAGCACAGACCCAAUGGUGAUUAUAUUCUAUCCCUAAACAAAGAGAAAUUUUCAGUGAAAAAAAAAAAAAAAGUAUUAUUGUAGUGAACGGGAGAAAUAGCAAAGCUCCUAAUCGCAAUUGCUAGUUAAGCAUUAACGAAACGAGAUCCACUCUCCCUAAGCAUGGUGAUAUUGGAUACCAGAAAUAAGCUGAAUCAAACAAGCAUCAACAGUACACCUGAAAAAAACCACAGCACAGUUACAAAGUAGGGUGCAGGGCAGGAUCUGGAUCCGGUUUCACAUUCUAAGUGGUAAUAGCAAAAUUCAACUUAGACAUCUUUAAACAAGGGAUUUGUGGGAUCCUAAAAAGGAAAAUUCAAGAGUAAGGAAGUGAAUUAAUCAGAAGAGACUAACACUAUAGCCAAUAAUUUCAAAAUUUUGGUGAAUUAACACCACAUAAGUUUACUUGUCCAGGCAACAAUUCAGUCCCACGUUCCUGGCCAAGCAAUGAUCCUGGGAAGUUGCCCUCCCGGGGGCUCCUCAGGCUUCUUCCAUUGUGUUUCUGUCUCUCAACCCUGGGUGUCCCCUCCAUUCAGCCAGCAGACAGGGAAAGCAAAUGGAAGAUCCUUUACAAGGGGUCAGGCUUGAAUGAGGACAUCAGAUCGGCCACCGUCCCUGGCUAGAACUCAGUCACACGGUCAUUCAUUUCAAGAGAGCUGAGAAAUACCAGGACAUAAAGGGACACAUGGUGAACUUUUAGCUGGUGCUUGCCAGCUGCCAUGGUAACCAAAUCCCCAUGAGAAGCACAGAGCCACGGUCCUCGAAUUCUAAGCAAGAGACAGAUCUACCUAAUUGCAUCGCCUCGGUCCCUUGCACAUUCCCGAGUUGAGGAAGUGACCCAGGAAUGCCGUAACUGGUGGCUUUGAGCUGACCAGAGCACACCUCUUGAGUUGGGGGCAUGGUCAGUUUUCCCUGAAGUACCUGGGCUGCAUGGGCAAGAGGUAAAUAUGUUAGAAAAUGGGAAAAGAUGAUGGAUGGGCAACUGUCCAUGUCCACACAAGGUUCUGGUUCCAGAAGAACUGAGAUACCAAGAAGUGCCGACAUAUCUCGAGGGUCUGUGCAACACUGUGACCUGGUUACUGCGCCUGUGCUUGGCAAUGUGGAAUAAGAGACAUAUCCCUCCUUCCCGUCUUAGUCUCAUGGCUGAGGCCCCUGUAACAAAAGACAGAUUCAUCAGAGAAAAGCAAGCAGAUUGAACAUGGUUUUCCAUGACACAGAGCCCUCACACAGAGUGAAGAUCUGAAGAAAUGGGUCAACUUGUACAUUUGUCAUACAAGGUUGCAUGAAGAAAUGGAUAGUUGUGGCGAAGCAUGACUGGACAAAGGGCUGUGACCCACUGUUGACAAACCAGGGGGCACUAGCAAAGCCUCGGUGUUCAAAUUCUCCCUCACCCCUCCCUGUCACUCUGUCUUUAGAGAUAAGCUUGUUCCGUCCCUAGGAGAUAGCACUUCUCCAACAGAGUUUAAUGAUGUGCUCCAGGGGCAGGUCAGGCUUUAGGACCUGCUUCUGGUAAGAAAAGUGAGGGGGAAGGGGAGAGCAGCCUGUUUCUGUCAUUUUCUCAAAUUCUUUCAACUUAAAAUAUUUGGGGAUAGCAUGUCCUGAACCCUAUUAACUGCCACGUAGGCAAGGUGAACAGAGUGAGAGCCCUGCUCCUGGCAAGCUGGGUAGAACUGAAGAAAUCCAAGGACAACAGCAGUAGUCCUAGCCUUGGUGUCCUUGGAACCUCAGAUUCCAUUGAACCUGGGAACCAGGCUAAAACGUGGAGAAGAGUAGUCCCAGCUAGAAGAUAAAACCCACAGGGGCUGCUAAUGAGAGCUGUUGGGAGGCUGAACAUCGCUUUGUCUUCCACCAAUGAUACAGGGAUUUAUUCUGGAAAUGAGCACACACAUUUUCUCAUCGAGAAAUCAAAACUCUGCUGCUUAGUCUAGGAUGAUAGAUUUUAAUCCCAUUGUUUCUUCAGCUAAUACUUGUACUUUCAGUCUGCUGGUCAUUGCUAGAAAAUGUCUCUGAUUGUGGGAAUAGGUUCCCUGGCUAUUUUAUUCCGGGUUCUUGCCUCCAUAUGAGAUAAGAUUCAAAGCAGAGACAUGGGCGAAGUGCAAGAAUGGGAGCAGCGUUUAUUUGAAGAGGCAGAGAGAAUGCACAUUGAGAUGUGAAUGUGGGAGAGAUGUGCGCCACGAGGCGAAUCCGUGUUCCCAUGAGGGGACAGGGUGCUUUGAGGAGAGGAAUGCUCCUGAGGGCACAGGGAUGCCCCCAGCUCAGUGGUCCCCUUCACUGGGUUGGAGCUGGUGCCCUAGUUGAGUAUAGAAACAGGGUGGGGUUUGAGGGGGUGUUCAGUAUGUGGGAGGACCUCUGAGAAGGCUUCAUGGCAACUCCACGUGGAACUCAGUGUGCAUGAGGAAGUGACUCGGUGCUCACCAUGGUGGCUUCUUCAUGCUGGAAGAGGCUCAGGUGCAUUGUGGGAAAGUGAAUGUGCUGAAAUGGCACCCAGGGGUUGGAGUUGGGGUACAGUGCUAGAGACAGAAACUGCAGGAAAUCUCUCAGCUCCAUUGUUCUCUACCUGGCACCCUGCCUGUCCCACAUCAUCAUCACAGACUAGUUAUACCUUUUGGCCCAGCUCAAAGUAGAUUUUAGCUAUAGUUCAUUCUAUCACACAAGAAUUUCAAGAGAACUUCAGGUCCAGAGUCCUUAAUUUUGUGAAAAGUUCAUUCAUUGUUACACUUUUUGGUAUUUAGGUUCAUAACAUCCAAAUGCACUCCAGACCCUCAGAUUGCCUCUCUUGUUAGUGUUUCAUGUUUGGGACUUUGGUGUCAUUGAUCUGGAGGAAGAAUGUUUAUAAGGGGCCAGUGUUGUGGUACACCAGGUUAGGCCACCUUUUACAACGCUGGCAUCCCAUAUUGGAGCACUGGUUCUAGUCCUAGCUGCUCUGCUUCUGAUCCAGCUCCCUACUAAUGCAGCUGGGAAGGCAUCAGAGGAUGGGCCAAGGGCUUGGGCCCCUGCCACCCAUGUGGGAGACCUGGAUGGAGCUCCUGGUUCCUGGCUUCAGCCCUGGAUGAUGCAGCCAUUAGGGGAGUGAACCAGUGGAUGGAAGAUCUCUCUCUCUCUCUCUCCUUUCUCUCUCUCUCUGGGUCUUUUCCUCUCUCUGUCACUCUGCCUUUCAAAUAAAAAAAGAUACGCAAAUCUUGUUUUAAGAAAUAAAUAAUGUUUAGGAGCCUAUCCCCUGUAAAGUUAGAGAUACUUUGAAAUCUAGAGUGCCAGAGCUGUGGCGCAUUAGUUUAAUCGUCUGCUUGCGGUGCCGGCAUCUCAUAUGGGCGCUGGUUCUAGUCCCAGUGGCUCCUCUUCCAGGCCAGCUCUCUGCUGUGGCCUGGAAUAGCAGUGGAGGAUGGCCCAAGUGCUUGGGCCCCUGCAGCCACAUGGGAGACCAGGAAGAAGCACCUGGCUCCUGGCUUUGGAUCGGUGCAGCUCUGGCUGUUGCUGACAUUUGGAGAGUUAACCAACGGAUGGAAGACCUUUCUCUCUGUCUCUCUCUCUCAUUGUCUGUAAUUCUACCUGUCAAAUAAAUAAAUAAUAAUAAUAAAAUCUUAAAGAAAUCUAGAGCAUAUUCUCAGAUUAACAUUUUGCUUUCUAACCAAACCUGUUCAGUGGUGUUUCUCAUCCAUAAAUAAAAACCAGGCAGAGUGAUGACAGCCCAGGGGAAAUGGGAGGGAGGGGGAAGGUCAAACAGAGGAGGAAGAGGAAUCCAGGAGA